ACGAACGCUGGCGGCGUGCUUAACACAUGCAAGUCGAACGGAAAGGCCCCUUUGGGGGUACUCGAGUGGCGAACGGGUGAGUAACACGUGAGUAACCUGCCCUUGACUUCGGGAUAACUUCAGGAAACUGGGGCUAAUACCGGAUAGGAAUCCUUGCUGCAUGGUGGGGGUUGGAAAGCUUCGGCGGUUUUGGAUGGACUCGCGGCUUAUCAGCUUGUUGGUGGGGUAGUGGCUUACCAAGGCUUUGACGGGUAGCCGGCCUGAGAGGGCGACCGGCCACAUUGGGACUGAGAUACGGCCCAGACUCCUACGGGAGGCAGCAGUGGGGAAUAUUGCACAAUGGGCGGAAGCCUGAUGCAGCAACACCGCGUGCGGGAUGACGGCCUUCGGGUUGUAAACCGCUUUCAGCAGGGGCGAAGCUUGUGGUGACGGUACCUGCAGAAGAAGCACCGGCUAACUACGUG
rnacentral:rRNA from 1 species